GAUGAAGAACGUAGUGAAAUGCGAUACGUAAUGUGAAUUGCAGAAUUCAGUGAAUCAUCGAGUCCUUGAACGCACAUUGCGCCCCCUGGUAUUCCGGGGGGCAUGCCUGUCCGAGCGUCAUUGCUGCCCUCAAGCACGGCUUGUGUGUUGGGCCUCCGUCCUCCUCCCGGGGGACGGGCCCGAAAGGCAGCGGCGGCACCGCGUCCGGUCCUCGAGCGUAUGGGGCUUCGUCACCCGCUCUUGUAGGCCCGGCCGGCGCUUGCCGACACAUCAAUCUUUUUUCCAGGUUGACCUCGGAUCAGGUAGGGAUACCCGCUGAACUUAAGCAUAUCAAUAAGCGGAGGA
rnacentral:misc_RNA from 1 species